UACAGAGGGUGCAAGCGUUGUUCGGAAUUAUUGGGCGUAAAGAGUGUGUAGGCGGUGCUCUAAGUUUGGUGUGAAAUCUCCCGGCUCAACUGGGAGGGUGCGCCGAAAACUGGAAUGCUUGAACGUGGGAGAGGAAAGCGGAAUUCCUGGUGUAGCGGUGAAAUGCGUAGAUAUCAGGAGGAACACCUGCGGUGUAGACGGCUUUCUGGACCAUUGUUGACGCUGAGACACGAAAGCGUGGGUAGCAAACAGG
rnacentral:rRNA from 1 species